rnacentral:rRNA from 1 species
ACGAACGCUGGCGGCGUGCUUAACACAUGCAAGUCGAGCGGUAAGGCCCUUUCGGGGGUACACGAGCGGCGAACGGGUGAGUAACACGUGGGUGACCUGCCCUUAGCUCUGGGAUAAGCCUGGGAAACUGGGUCUAAUACCGGAUAUGACUCCAUGACGCAUGUUGUGGGGUGGAAAGCCUUGUGCGGCUAGGGAUGGGCCCGCGGCCUAUCAGCUUGUUGGUGGGUGAUGGCCUACCAAGGCGACGACGGGUAGCCGGCCUGAGAGGGCGACCGGCCACACUGGGACUGAGACACGGCCCAGACUCCUACGGGAGGCAGCAGUGGGGAAUCUUGCGCAAUGGGCGAAAGCCUGACGCAGCGACGCCGCGUGGGGAGUGACGGCC